rnacentral:rRNA from 1 species
GAGCGGAUGACGGGAGCUUGCUCCUUGAUUCAGCGGCGGACGGGUGAGUAAUGCCUAGGAAUCUGCCUGGUAGUGGGGGACAACGUUUCGAAAGGAACGCUAAUACCGCAUACGUCCUACGGGAGAAAGCAGGGGACCUUCGGGCCUUGCGCUAUCAGAUGAGCCUAGGUCGGAUUAGCUAGUUGGUGGGGUAAUGGCUCACCAAGGCGACGAUCCGUAACUGGUCUGAGAGGAUGAUCAGUCACACUGGAACUGAGACACGGUCCAGACUCCUACGGGAGGCAGCAGUGGGGAAUAUUGGACAAUGGGCGAAAGCCUGAUCCAGCCAUGCCGCGUGUGUGAAGAAGGUCUUCGGAUUGUAAAGCACUUUAAGUUGGGAGGAAGGGCAGUAAGCUAAUACCUUGCUGUUUUGACGUUACCGACAGAAUAAGCACCGGCUAACUAUGUG